rnacentral:lncRNA from 12 species
AAAUCUACAAAUAAGAUAAAUACAAUUAUAUCUAUAAAUAAAAUUAUAUAUAUAAUGGAAAAAAGAAACCCAGUCACACCAAUGUAAAUCAUGGUUUUAUUGUCUACAACAAUUUCUGUAGCUUCACAUAGAUAUUAGAAGGAUAUGUACAAGAAUUAUAAUGACUUUUCUAAGAUAGUUUAAUUUAACUGAACAACUGAUAUAAAAAAUAAGCCUCAUGUAAGAAAGUCACACUGUUCUUUGGCUCAAUAAAUCCUGUUUUAAAAAUAAUUGUUUUCUAUGGACCCUAUCCUAGAACCCUCACAUACUACAACAUUUUCAAUGUAAUUCCAUUUAGAUCCAGAUUUUUAAUGUUAGUUUAACGGCAGUUCAGAGCUAAUCUCAUUUCUCUUUUAGAAAGCAAGUAUCAAGACAAUUUUCUAUUGGAACAGCUUCUAGAGGUCACUCAACAAAUUCUGUUUCUGCUCUUUCUCUCCUUGUCCAACCUUCUUCUUUGACCUAAAUACACUUCUGUUGGACUCUAAGAUUCAGAACAUCUGUCUACAACUUUUGCAGAUUCCCUCUGGAGGCCCAUUUUUGCAACUUAUUGUAUAUUGCUAACCACAGUAGAAGCCAUGAACACAUCUAGUUUCCCUACAGGUCCCAGACUCCCUGAUUGUCAGUGACAGCGAUUUAUGCUCUUAUGACCACUCACUGCUAUAAUGCAUUUAGAUUUUAUGUCAUUAACUCAUGGAUCCAGUGAUGUUUGUGUAAUUCAACUGAGUGGACAACUGUCUUUGUUUAAAACAUUUUCAAAAAUGUUUUUCUCUUUACAUUUUUCAGAGCUCCAGACCCCUGAAAGUCAUAAUGCUUAUUCAUAUGAAUUAGACCCAGCAAUGUUACAAGCUGAGGCAGAUGUGGCGUCAAACACCAGAAAAGCAUCUUACAGGGAAACAAGCUCUGGAGAUAGUGGACAUUCUAAUGUGAAUGUUUGGAAUGGCCAUGAUUUUGGUUUGGUGCAUGGAGAUAAAAGCUUGAAGUCGUUUACUUUGGAAAGACAUUGUUGUCAACUAAGAGAGACUUAA